UGGAUCAAAUCUCGAGAUAUCAAAUCCUAACAACUACAGAUGUACAAGAAAAUGUUCAGCUAUUUAGAAAGCUAUUUCUUGUUCUGCCUUAGGCAUUCAAUUUACAAUUCAAUUAUAGAUAGGAGAUGGAAACAUUAUUAAACAUUCUAAAUAAUACUUUGUUAUCUAAUGUUCCUUGAUCAGAAGGUCAAUUCCUAUAUGUUGCGGUCUUGUUCCGAUGGGU
rnacentral:lncRNA from 1 species